AUGCGUGUUGGUCGUGUGCGGAACUGCACAUGCGCGCAUAGCCGGCUGCUUGGCCAGCCUUGGCCGGCUUCCCACCACGGCGUAUACUGGAUCAGGCCGCCCGGCUCCGACCUCGUCCAACUGCGUUCUGCUUCAGCUGUUGCUCCGCGGCCCGGCUGUUGUGCCGUCUGUCCGCCUGGCCUCGGUCCUCGCUGGCUGCACCUUACCUGUCGCACGCGCCCAGCCUGCUGUGCUCCUUAUGCGGUCGCCGACUGCUCCAUUCGCGCGCGCUUGUCGUCCCGGCCGGCUGCUGCUACGCACCCGCAUCCGUGCGCCUCCGCGUCGCGCGCCUGGCGAUGGGCCUGGUCGCCGUGCCCCUCCGCCUGCGUGCUAGCUCGCCCAGACCGCCUCCCGCGUGUCAUCCGUCGCCCCCGCCUCGCUCCUCCGCGGCUCCGACGGGCUGGCCGGCUUCCCCGAGCUCGAGCCCAGCUCUCCUUCCCUGCGCGCUGGGCCCGGCCGCACCUCGAGCGCCGCUGCCAGGCGGCCAACUGGGCGGGCCGCCUCACGCCGCGCCGGCUGUCACCUCGGCCGCCUGCACCGCUUGCUCCGACCGCCGCCCAUGCCGGUUGCCGCCCCGGCCGCCAUCUUCGCGCCGGCCACCCGCGCCUCCUCCGCCUCGCCAACCCGGCCGCCCCACUCCACCGCCGGGGCUGCACGCUGCAGCUGGCCCAGCCCCCUCCGCGCUGGCCCCGCCAGGCGCCGCGCCUCCGGCCGGCUCCGCCAACCCGGUCGCCGGCUUCAGCCUGCACCCGGCGCGCGCUGCUCGCUGCUGCCGCCUUCUGUGGGCAAAGAAAAGAAAGGAAGUCAGACUCCGGCUGCUGGCUCCAGAAAAAAACCGAGAUGCCGGGUGGAGAAAAGUCAGUGGUUGGAUGCUAG
rnacentral:rRNA from 1 species